UUGCGACUUUCCGGGGGGAAAAAGAUGCGUCCCGGGUGGAAGCGAGAAAAUACAUAUGGUAUGUUGUAUCUGAACAGGUUAGCUUACGAGCUAAAGUUACUUAGCACAGAUGAAAGUUAAAACAAAGACGUUUAUCAAACUGUUAAAGCACACAAACCAUCGUCAUAUGAGAAAUCCGACGCUAUGACUCUCCACAAGUCGUCCUUCAGGUCGUUAUCUUUGUAAUGUUUGUGUCUUUUAUCAAAAAUCACUCUGUUCUCCGACACGUAAACAAUCAGCCAGUCGGCCAUGUUGG